GUGGGGUAGGGAAGGGGGAUUUCCGAGUGGAGGCCCAAAUAUAUCUAAUGAAUAUUCCCACAUUUCGGUGGAAGAACAGAUGGCGCUUCCAUUUGGCUCAUUGUGGCACCACAAUGGCAAUCCAUUAACGACAUUCCAUCUGAAAUGAUUCCCCAUUAUGCUUAUGAUAUAAUGACGCCGCCCCCCAGACCAAGGAAAUCUCUCCGCAUUUCACCUUGAUGUCGACGUCGAUGUGGCACUGUCGAUGUGGCACAGAGCCGCAUGUUCAUAACGUUGUCGCACAAUUAAAUUCCAUCCGCAAAAGCUUUCAACUGCACUUUGGACCACAAAUUAUGGCCAGCCCCGCACGGCUUUGCUCCCCCGAGCAUUGAGGUCCUUCUAUGGCAGAACAAAUGGCCAAAAGCGGCUGCCAAAUGUCGGCCUACAAACACACACACGCGCACACACUCACACAGACAGUCGUCUAUGUAUAGGCAGGCGGACACACAAAAGGCCGAGACAUUCGGGCCAAAUUUAACUGCUGUGCAGUCGCGCAUGAGGAUCCGCUGGCAAUCUCUUACCGACUUUCCCUGCCCCUGGCCCAGGCCCAGGUCCCCCCCCAGUCAAUUAUGGUCUAUGGACAUUAAAUGUCAUUACGCAGCAACAAUCAAAAAGAGACACAGGAUCCGCAGCAGGGGCAGGGGCAGGGGCAGGAGCUGGAGAUGGCGAACUGAAGCCGAACAGGAAGUAGACAACGAGCCAAGCAAAGCAUGAAAUUAAAAUGCGCCUAAGAUGUAUUCCUGUCUGUCAUGGGCCGCCCUGCGAGUCCUGCCAAAGGAGUGGCUGCUUCUGGCUGUGCUUCUGCCUGUCGUUCUGCUUAUAAUUUCAUUUUUCACACCCAACUCUCAUUGACAAAAGUGUGAAGCGCAGGACACGGGGAGACGGACGUUCUUGGCUUCCUGCCUUUGCCAUACACUUGCCAACAAAAACUGCUGCAGGAGCGAAAGGAGGCAUAGCCGAUGGUUACAUACUCCCGGAUAAGCGGUCCUGGGCUUUAACGUUCACGUUCCGGGUCCUGCGCCGCUCUGGUAACUAUCCCAUUUUAAAUCAGUUGACGCACGCGCCAACUCAUCGGCUUUCCCCGGACCCCUCCGGUGGCCAGGAAUACCUCUUGCGUGCUCGCGGAUAUGCCCAACAUCGUUUACCAUGACCAUGACCAAGACCUUCUGGUCUUCCGGUUCAUAUGAACGAGUGUGCGAUUGAUGACGACUGUCCACUCCCGGCGCCUGACCGGCUGCCAUCGUAAGCUCUCCGCCGGAUCCUGAGCACGGGGCCACGGUGCAGGGCGACCUUCGGGACGCGUCGGGCGAGUCUGUGGCCUUUGGUCUGGGCGAUCAUUUGGGUUCGCUCGCCAUCGGCACAUCCUCCGCUGGUGAUUCCGUUUUUCUCGGCUAGUCCAAGGAAAGUAUUCCUGGCUAGACUGUGGCAGCCACUGGCUGUUCUGCGGCGGGCCAAUGUGGCGACAAUGUGGCGUCCCAUUUGCUGCAACAAGGACCAGUGAUCGCCGGCGGAAUGGUUGGUUCAAACGAUGGGCUUCGGCUUUGAGACGCAUUACUCACACACAUUCAUACCCUUCGCUUUGCGACAAACCGAGUCGUGUCCGCCAGACGCAGUACUAUGAAAGUAUCCAAGCCAGACAGAAGCGAAUACCAGCCGGACGGAAGCGCAGCAUCGUCAUCCUUUGCCCUUGCCAUCGACAGCAUGGACUAUGACUAUGGCAACCAAGGGAGGGAGGACGCGGGGCUACUAGACUCUAGGUGGAUAUCGUUGUUGCAAGGUGUAAGGAUAGACGCGUCCAUAUAUAGUACAGAAAAAACCAUUAUUCUACUGAUGUGCAAAUCCAAUCCUUCGGAAGGCCAUAUCUCAGAAAAAUAAGGCCAGAUCAGUGCAGGACCGAGUCUCCCAGGAUCGUGAGAAUCCAGACUGUCGAACUGCAUCAAAAUCUCGACUAUGAA